UGGGUGUGUGUGUUUUU
rnacentral:miRNA from 1 species